UGAUAGGAGACCCGAGACCAGCCGAGAGAGAAAAAGAAGGGGGACAGAUUGGAGAAAGAGAAGAGAGGGAUUGGGCAAAAAAUUGGUCUGAUAAAAUAAUAGCUUCCCAUAGAAGAUUAAACACCAGAGAAAAGCUCUUCGAAUGCGGCGACAGCUCCGAUGACGGAUGAAGAGCGCGGCAAGGCUGAGGGAGGAAGGGUGGUGGCGGCAAGGAGGCUGCUGGCCGAGAAAAAUGAGGGAUCCGGAGCAAGAGAGAUGGGGACAAAAGGUGAGAAGAGGAAGUAGGGAUCCGAUCCUUACCGACGACAAUGACAGCCACUUUAAAGAUCCGAUCUUUACCGACGACAACUGCAGCAUGGCGGCACAAAUGUCCGAUCUUUACCGAUAACAACGGCAACAUGGCGGCAUAUGCGAGAAACGAGAGACAGGGCAUCCGGGUGAGGCGGCGAGGCUGUGUGGAAAGAAGAAGGAGCGGUGUUCUGGUGGGAGAUGAUUUGCUCCGCCGAUUGGAAGGAAGGAGGGAGGGAGAGACUU